GUUGCUUCACAUCUGGAAGAAUAUCUUGAUGUUAACAGUUUGGUCAUCCUGUAGAGGGAAGCAUAGAUGAACGGAAACACUAGCCUGGAUUAAACAGCACAACACAUUAUCAAACUUUGUCGUGUUACCUCUCUUCUGGUACAUAU